GAUGAACGCUGGCGGCGUGCCUAAUACAUGCAAGUCGAGCGAACGGACGAGAAGCUUGCUUCUCUGAUGUUAGCGGCGGACGGGUGAGUAACACGUGGAUAACCUACCUAUAAGGCUGGGAUAACUUCGGGAAACCGGAGCUAAUACCGGAUGAUAUUUUGAACCGCAUGGUUCAAAAGUGAAAGACGGUCUUGCUGUCACUUAUAGAUGGAUCCGCGCUGCAUUAGCUAGUUGGUAAGGUAACGGCUUACCAAGGCAACGAUGCAUAGCCGACCUGAGAGGGUGAUCGGCCACACUGGAACUGAGACACGGUCCAGACUCCUACGGGAGGCAGCAGUAGGGAAUCUUCCGCAAUGGGCGAAAGCCUGACGGAGCAACGCCGCGUGAGUGAUGAAGGUCUUCGGAUCGUAAAACUCUGUUAUUAGGGUAGAACAUAUGUGUAAGUAACUGUGCACAUCUUGACGGUACCUAAUCAGAAAGCCACGGCUAACUACGUG
rnacentral:rRNA from 1 species